ACAGCUACAGAGCUACGAGCUAGUUGAAAUAUAUAACACAUUUCGACUUUAAAAACAAUGAUGUGAUGACAUCAGCAUAGCAUUCCAAUAGCAUUUUAGGACGUCCACAGAAGGCCAGGAGUAGCUAUACCUGUUUCACAGGCACAGCCUCACUUCCCAGGGUGCGCUUCUUUUUAUGCUUUCUUUUUGUCAUUCAUAUGUUAGUACCAAACCACGACAUCAGAGACGUCACGGUCCACAAAGCUAGCAUUUUUCAAGCUAACACCGGAAUAAUACAUAAAAAAAAAUUGGCAAGGGUGAAGGUUAUAUGUUGGACGAAAGUGACCUGGCCCCGAUGCAAACUCAACCCCAGAGUUAUGAGGACACGAUCGAGGCCAAGACAGCGGGGAAGACAGAGACAGUGGCGGAAGCCAAGAAGGGCAGCAGCUGCCCCACGUGUUGCACAAAGACCCGGGAUUGCCUGAUGAGCGCAGAGUGUGGACGGGCCCUCCAGAUCUCCAGCGUGGUGGCUAUGUGUGGCCGGUGCAUCCGGAUGUGGAUGUAAUCUGAUCUUGGAUGCAAAUGGCGUGGAUGUUUUGAGGAGCAAAUGAGAAGGAAAUUAUUCUCAGUUGGAUGCAAAAUAUUGCCCACAAAACCUAAAGUAAUGACAUCUACCACCACCCC